UUUUCUCGGACGGUAUUCCAGGCCGAAUUGCGUUUUCAACUAAUACGAUGAGAAAGACACGUUCAUUUAGUUACGGACUUCUACGGCUUGGCGAACGCAACGAAUGAGAAUAACAUGCUAGGCUCGGCCCCAAGCUAGUUCAUUUGUUUGAGUGUCCCGAAUGAGAUUUAGAUUUAGAUUUAGAUCUAGGCAACACGGACGAGUCUUAACUAUGUUGUGAUGACUCAUUGUACAACCAAGCCGCUUCUUUUAUUUUUCCGUCGGCUUUCGUUGGAAGCGUCUUAAUGCACGGCUUUAAACCAUGCUUGUCUCUUGUUGUUUUAUUUCCAAAUCAACAAGCGACUGUAAAACAAAGAGGUUCUUUGUUCCAGUUGCAUACUGACAUGGGUCUGUGAUAGUGAUUAGUCACUUUUUACAACGAUUGACGUACAUGAAUCUCUACUAGUUCGCCUAGUAUUGUACUGUAGUAGUUUAGUGGUUUGCAACAGCACGGUGAAAAACAGCCACGUGGUUUACACGUGGGUGCAUCCGUUCUGGAAGUUUGGGUUCUACAAUCUGAAGUCGGGCGCCACAUGGAAGCCGACAGCAAUUUAAUGAAGAUCUUGAGGUUUGUUUUCCACGUGGGGUGUCGUAACAGAGCUGGGAGGUGGCACAUUCCUGUGUUUUGAUUCAUCAGAGGAAGAAUAUCAGCCUGGUGGACAACUUGGCCUGUCGUGAAGCUCUGGGCGCAGGGCAGAAGGUGGGCAAAGAAAGAAGUCAAGAGAACAAAGACCUAAUUCAUCCUUCCCCUUGUGCUAGCACCAUUGCAUCAAAAAGUGAAGUCUGCUCCUUCACGCACCACAGCUGGAAAUAUUACUGCUUUUGUAGUCUGUGAAUAAAAAUUUGGACAAAC